rnacentral:rRNA from 1 species
AUACGGAAGGUCCGGGCGUUAUCCGGAUUUAUUUGGUUUAAAGGGAGCGCAGGCGGAGAUGCAAGCGUGACGUCAAAUUUCGGGGCUCAACCCCGUCUCGCGUCGCGAACUGCGUCCCUUGGUUGCGGGAAGGGGAGGCGGAACUCGGGGUGUAGCGGUGAAAUGCAUAGAUAUCACGAAGAACUCCGAUCGCGAAGGCAGCCUUCCGGCCCGUCAACGACGCUCAUGCUCGAAGGUGCGGGUAUCAAACAGGAUUAGAUACCCUGGUAGUCCGCACAGUAAACGAUGGACACCCGCGGUUUGGCCUGUAUGGCUGAGCCGCCAAGCGAAAGCGUUAAGUGUCCCACCUGGGGAGUACGCCGGCAACGGUGAAACUCAAAUGAAUUGACGGGG